UGGGCGUCGAGCGGCGGACGGGUGAGUAAUGCCUAGGAAAUUGCCUUGAUGUGGGGGAUAACCAUUGGAAACGAUGGCUAAUACCGCAUAAUGCCUACGGGCCAAAGAGGGGGAUCUUCGGACCUCUCGCGUCAAGAUAUGCCUAGGUGGGAUUAGCUAGUUGGUGAGGUAAUGGCUCACCAAGGCGACGAUCCCUAGCUGGUCUGAGAGGAUGAUCAGCCACACUGGAACUGAGACACGGUCCAGACUCCUACGGGAGGCAGCAGUGGGGAAUAUUGCACAAUGGGCGAAAGCCUGAUGCAGCCAUGCCGCGUGUAUGAAGAAGGCCUUCGGGUUGUAAAGUACUUUCAGUUGUGAGGAAGGGUGUGUAGUUAAUAGCUGCGCAUCUUGACGUUAGCAACAGAAGAAGCACCGGCUAA
rnacentral:rRNA from 1 species